GAUGAACGCUGGCGGCGUGCCUAAUACAUGCAAGUCGAGCGAACAGAUGAGGAGCUUGCUCCUCUGACGUUAGCGGCGGACGGGUGAGUAACACGUGGAUAACCUACCUAUAAGACUGGGAGAACUUCGGGAAACCGGAGCUAAUACCGGAUAAUAUAUUGAACCGCAUGGUUCAAUAGUGAAAGACGGUUUUGCUGUCACUUAGAGAUGGAUCCGCGCCGCAUUAGCUAGUUGGUAAGGUAACGGCUUACCAAGGCAACGAUGCGUAGCCGACCUGAGAGGGUGAUCCGCCACACUGGAACUGAGACACGGUCCAGACUCCUACGGGAGGCAGCAGUAGGGAAUCUUCCGCAAUGGGCGCAAGCCUGACGGAGCCACGCCGCGUGAGUGAUGAAGGUCUUCGGAUCGUAAAACUCUGUUAUUAGGGAAGAACAAAUGUGUAAGUAACUAUGCACGUCUUGACGGUACCUAAUCAGAAAGCCACGGCUAACUACGUG
rnacentral:rRNA from 1 species